GAUGAACGCUGGCGGCGUGCCUAAUACAUGCAAGUCGAGCGAACGGAUAAGGAGCUUGCUCCUUUGAAGUUAGUGGCGGACGGGUGAGUAACACGUGGGUAACCUACCUAUAAGCCUGGAAUAACUUCGGGAAACCGGAGCUAAUGCCGGAUAACAUUUGGAACUGCAUGGUUCUAAAGUAAACGAUGGUUUUGCUAUCACUUAUAGAUGGACCCGCCGCGUAUUAGCUAGUUGGUAAGGUAACGGCUGACCAAGGCGACGAUACGUAGCCGACCGGAGAGCGUGAUAGGCCACACUGGAACUGAGACACGGUCCAGACUCCUACGGGAGGCAGCAGUAGGGAAUCUUCCGCAAUGGACGAAAGUCUGACGGAGCAAAGCCGCGUGAGUGAUGAAGGUUUUCGGAUCGUAAAACUCUGUUAUUAGGGAAGAACAAAUGUGUAAGUAACUGUGCACAUCUUGACGGUACCUAAUCAGAAAGCCACGGCUAACUACGUGCCAGCCGCCGCAGUAA
rnacentral:rRNA from 1 species